rnacentral:lncRNA from 1 species
GUAGUUUGGUCCUGUUAAAUUGCAAUACAGCUGAGUAACUGGAACUAUGCCUUGGUGUGGCUGCCAAAGAGAUGGCGGCCGGUCACUGUGCCUGAACUUGAACAUUACAGAGUUUCUCCCAAAGAGAAAGUAAACAUUUUUCCCUAUUUUUAUAGCUGCAGAAUCUCACUUUUCAAGAAUAUACGAGGGCUGCUCCAACAGAAAUACCUCCUGUUUUCUUUUGUUGGCCCAUGACAGAGUACAAACUCUUGAGUCUGGUGUCCUGUAGAGGAAUGAAGCCCAAGGGGCAUCUCUGUGUUGUAGUGCUGUGAAAACUCAGAAGCCUCGGACCUAAGUCCAUGUGCUGGGUUACCUUACUGGUGGGUUUCUUCAGUAUGGGAACUUGAGUUGUUAGCAGCUCUCCAAGGCCAUGCUUGGAAAUCUGAGAGUUUAAUUCAUGUUAAAAAAUGAACCAUUUUCUUCCCAUCUCCAAGUGUGUGUUGGGGGGUCUUUUACUCACAUCUAAUCCACGACAGUGCUUUACUCGUCAGCCCUCCGCUCCUUAGCUUCCUUAGCAGCCUCUUGUUGGGGACUUUGUCCAAAGCCUUUCUGCAUGUCUAUAUGAAUUAUGUCAACCAGUUCUCCCUUAUUCACCAGUUUGUUGACCUGUUCCCAAGAGUCUGUUAUAGAGAUGUGAAUUUCCUUUACACAAACCGCCUCGGCUCAUCUGUAUCAUAUCAAGUCGUUGUUACACAUUUCUAUUUGAAAUAAUCUCUUCAUUCAACCUGCCCAGCGCUUAAUUAAGCCUUGCUGACUUGCAAUAUGAGGGAUGGACGUUACCAAAGAGGCACCUUGGAGGCUUCCCAUCCAGCAGCUGCUUUGGGCCAUACUUGGAAAUCUGGGAGGUUUCCCUGGGUCACAUCACUUCUGCAGUGAAUUCCUACAGCUGAACACCCCAGCAUCCUCUGCCUCUGCAACAUCACUACUGCUGGGAGGGCACAUGCAGGAGAGCAGAAUCUCUAAGUAAAAAGCAGCAGCAAAGCGUGGAAAGGAAGAGAAGUAUCCUAUUGUGCCAGAAAACAGAUCAGACAAAUUGCUUUUCAUCUCUUCUUCAAUGCGAGUAGAAGGGAAUGGGCUAAAAUAUGUGUGUAUAUAUGUAUAUAUAAACACAUGGAGCUGCACCGGGAUUUCUUUUUUCUGCUCUAAAAUCCAGAUCUGUGCAACAGGAAAAUAAAAUGCUGAGCCACCAAACA